rnacentral:snRNA from 1 species
AUACUUACCUGGACGGGGUCAAUGGGCGAUCAAUAAGGCCCAUGGCCUAGGUUGAUGACUUCCAUUGCACUUUGGAAGGGUGUUAACUUAAGGUCUACCUUAUAGGUGGAGCCUACGUCAUAAUUUGUGAUAGAGGGGGCCUGCGUUCGCGCGGCCCCUGC